rnacentral:rRNA from 1 species
UUGGAGGGCAAGUCUGGUGCCAGCAGCCGCGGUAAUUCCAGCUCCAAUAGCGUAUAUUAAAGUUGUUGCAGUUAAAAAGCUCGUAGUUGAAUUUCGGGGUUAGUAGGUUGGUCAUGCCUCUGGUAUGUACUGGUCUCACUGAUUCCUCCUUCCUGAUGAACCGUAAUGCCAUUAAUUUGGUGUUGCGGGGAAUUUGGACUGUUACUUUGAAAAAAUUAGAGUGUUUAAAGCAGGCUAACGCUUGAAUACAUUAGCAUGGAAUAAUGAAAUAGGACGUUCGAUCCUAUUUUGUUGGUUUCUAGGAUUGACGUAAUGAUUAAUAGGGAUAGUUGGGGGCAUUAGUAUUCAAUUGUCAGAGGUGAAAUUCUUGGAUUUAUUGAAGACUAACUACUGCGAAAGCAUUUGCCAAGGAUGUUUUCAUUAAUCAAGAACGAAAGUUAGGGGAUCGAAGACGAUCAGAUACCGUCGUAGUCUUAACCAUAAACUAUGCCGACUAGGGAUCGGAUGAUGUUAAUUUUUUAAUGACUCAUUCGGCACCUUACGGGAAAAC